UGCCUGGCGGCGAUAGCGCGGUGGUCCCACCUGACCCCAUGCCGAACUCAGAAGUGAAACGCCGUAGCGCCGAUGGUAGUGUGGGGUCUCCCCAUGCGAGAGUAGGGAACUGCCAGGCAUU
rnacentral:rRNA from 1 species